rnacentral:rRNA from 1 species
GCAUAUCAAUAAGCGGAGGAAAAGAAACUAACAAGGAUUCCCCUAGUAACUGCGAGUGAAGCGGGAAAAGCUCAAAUUUGAAAUCUGGUAGUCUUUGGCUGCCCGAGUUGUAAUCUAGAGAAGCGUUAUCCGCGCUGGACCGUGUAUAAGUCUCCUGGAAUGGAGCGUCAUAGAGGGUGAGAAUCCCGUCUUUGACACGGACUCCCAGGGCUUUGUGAUGCGCUCUCAAAGAGUCGAGUUGUUUGGGAAUGCAGCUCUAAAUGGGUGGUAAAUUCCAUCUAAAGCUAAAUAUUGGCGAGAGACCGAUAGCGAACAAGUACCGUGAGGGAAAGAUGAAAAGAACUUUGGAAAGAGAGUUAAACAGUACGUGAAAUUGUUGAAAGGGAAACGCUUGAAGUCAGUCGCGUUGGCCAGGGAUCAACCUUGCUUUUGCUUGGUGUACUUUCUGGUUAAUGGGUCAGCAUCAAUUUUGACCAGUGGAAAAAGGUUAGGGGAAUGUGGCAUCUUCGGAUGUGUUAUAGCCUCUGAUUGUAUACAUUGGUUGGGAUUGAGGAACUCAGCACGCCGCAAGGCCGGGUUUUACCACGUUCGUGCUUAGGAUGCUGGCAUAAUGGCUUUAAUCGACCCGUCUUGAAACACGGACC